rnacentral:tRNA from 1 species
ACCGAAAUAGCUCAGUUGGGAGAGCGUUAGACAAUAGAUCGAACGGUCCCUGGUUCGAUCGCGGGAUCCGGCA